rnacentral:rRNA from 1 species
GAUGAACGCUAGCUACAGGCUUAACACAUGCAAGUCGAGGGGCAGCAUGAUUGAAGCUUGCUUCAAUCGAUGGCGACCGGCGCACGGGUGAGUAACACGUAUCCAACCUGCCGAUAACUCGGGGAUAGCCUUUCGAAAGAAAGAUUAAUACCCGAUAGUAUAGUAUUUCCGCAUGGUUUCACUAUUAAAGAACUUCGGUUAUCGAUGGGGAUGCGUUCCAUUAGAUAGUUGGCGGGGUAACGGCCCACCAAGUCAACGAUGGAUAGGGGUUCUGAGAGGAAGGUCCCCCACAUUGGAACUGAGACACGGUCCAAACUCCUACGGGAGGCAGCAGUGAGGAAUAUUGGUCAAUGGACGAGAGUCUGAACCAGCCAAGUAGCGUGAAGGAUGACUGCCCUAUGGGUUGUAAACUUCUUUUAUACGGGAAUAAAGUGGAGUAUGCAUACUCCUUUGUAUGUACCGUAUGAAUAAGGAGCGGCUAACUCCGUG